UAUCUAUCUAUCUAACUGUAGUAGUAUGUAACAUCACAUCAUGUAUGUAACUGUAGUGGUAUGUAACAUCACAUCAUGUAUGUAACUGUAGUGGUAUGUAACAUCAUGUAUGUAACUGUAGUAGUAUGUAACAUCAUGUAUGUAACUGUAAUAGUAUGUAACAUCAUGUAUGUAACUGAAGUGGUAUGUAACAUCAUGUAUGUAACUGAAGUAGUAUGUAACAUCACAUCAUGUAUCUAUCUAACUGUAGCAGUAUGUAACAUCAUGUAUGUAACUGUAGUAGUAUGUAACAUCACAUCAUGUAUGUAACAUCAUGUAUGUAACUGUAGUAGUAUGUAACAUCACAUCAUGUAUGUAACAUCAUGUAACGGCCUGGCCAUAGAGAGGGGUUUUUUGUUCUUUAUUUUGGUUAGGCCAGGGUGUUACAUUGGGUGGGCGUUCUACGUUCUGUUUCUAUGUGUUUGUAGUUCUUUGUUUUGGGCCGUGUGUGGCUCCCAAUCAGGCACAGCUGAAGUUCGUUGUUGCUGAUUGGGAGUCACACAUAAGGAGCAUGUUUUUCCGUUGGGGUUUUUGGUGGGUAAUUGUUUCUGUUUAGUGUUUUGCACCUGACGGGACUGUUUGGCUGUUCGGUUUUCUUGUUUUGUUUCGUAUAUUGUGUUCUUUCUAUUAAAUUAAAUUCAAUGAUGAACACUAACUCUGCUGCACCUUGGUCUACUCUCUCUCUACCGACAGCCGUUACACAUCAUGUAUGUAACUGUAGUAGUAUGUAACAUCAUGUAUGUAUGUAACUAUCAUGUAUGUAACUGUAGUAGUAUGUAACAUCACAUCAUGUACGUAACUGUAGUAGUAUGUAACAUCACAUUAUGUAUGUAACUGUAGUAGUAUAUAACAUGUAUGUAACUGUAGCAGUAUGUAAAUUCAUGUAUGUAACUGUAGUAGUAUGUUACAUCACAUCAUGUAUGUAACAUCAUGUAUGUAACAUCACAUCAUGUAUGUAACUGUAGUAGUAUGUAACAUCAGAUCAUGUAUGUAACUGUAGUAGUAUGUAACUUCACAUCAUGUAUGUAACUGUAGUAGUAUGUAACUUCACAUCAUGUAUGUAACUGUAGUAGUAUGAAACAUCACAUCAUGUAUGUAACUGUAGUAGUAUGUAACAUCAUGUAUGUAACUGUAGUAGUAUGUAACAUCACAUCAUGUAUGUAACUGUAGAAGUAUGUAACACCACAUCAUGUAUGUAACUGUAAUGGUAUGUAACAUCAAUUAUGUAAAUGUAG
rnacentral:lncRNA from 1 species